rnacentral:rRNA from 1 species
AAUCAACGCUGGCGGCGUGCCUCAGACAUGCAAGUCGAACGCGAAAGUUUCCUUCGGGGAACAAGUAGAGUGGCGCACGGGUGAGUAACACGUAGGUAAUCUACCUUUGGAUGGGGAAUAACAGCCGGAAACGGUUGCUAAUACCGCAUAAUGCAGCGGCACCUAAUGGUGACAGUUGUUAAAGCGGGGGAUCGAAAGACCUCGCGUCUGAAGAGGAGCCUGCGGCGGAUUAGCUAGNGGUAAGGUAAUGGCUUACCAAGGCUUCGAUCCGUAGCCGGCCUGAGAGGGCGGUCGGCCACACUGACACUGACAUACGGGUCAGACUCCUACGGGAGGCAGCAGUCGGGAAUUUGGGCAAUGGGCGAAAGCCUGACCCAGCAACGCCGCGUGAAGGAUGAAAUCCCUCGGGAUGUAAACUUCGCAAGAACGGAAGAAUAAGCGAGAGUUAAUAUCUUUCGUGAUG